UACGUAUGGUGCAAGCGUUAUCCGGAUUUACUGGGUGUAAAGGGAGCGCAGGCGGUACGGCAAGUCUGAUGUGAAAUCCCGGGGCUCAACCCCGGUACUGCAUUGGAAACUGUCGGACUAGAGUGUCGGAGGGGUAAGUGGAAUUCCUAGUGUAGCGGUGAAAUGCGUAGAUAUUAGGAGGAACACCAGUGGCGAAGGCGGCUUACUGGACGAUUACUGACGCUGAGGCUCGAAAGCGUGGGGAGCAAACAGG
rnacentral:rRNA from 2 species